GAUGUUCUCUGCAGCGCCCGGUGUUCAUAAACACCACGGAAAGUUGUCUCACAAAUAAUACGUCAUCCACAGCAACUAACCCUAACGCGAUCAGGAGAGGAACAGGUCAGGUGUAUGAAACGUUUUGCUGAAAGUCGCCAGAGACCACAGGCGACAGUUUGGCAGUAACAGGCCUGCAACCACAGCUGGAUUUGAUGGUGGCAAUACUGUAAGUGCUUUUAAAACUGAGUUGUAA